CAGGCUGUGUAGCCACUGGGAUUGCCCGGGUGGCCAGUUACUGUCAGGCUGUGUAGUCACUGGGAUUGCCCGGGUGGCCAGUUACUGUCAGGCUGUGCAGUCACUGGGAUUGCCCGGAUGGCCAGUUACUGUCAGGCUGUGCAGUCACUUUGAUUGCCCGGGUGGCCAGUUACUGUCAGGCUGUGCAGUCACUGGGAUUGCCCGGAUGGCCAGUUACUGUCAGGCUGUGUAGUCACUGUGAUUGCCCGGGUGGCCAGUUACUGUCAGGCUGUGUAGUCACUGGGAUUGCCCGGGUGGCCAGUUACUGUCAGGCUGUGUAGUCACUGGGAUUGCCCGGAUGGCCAGUUACUGUCAGGCUGUGUAGCCACUGG